rnacentral:rRNA from 1 species
AGUAACGCGUGGGUAACCUGCCUCACACAGGGGGAUAACAGUUGGAAACGGCUGCUAAUACCGCAUAAGCGCACAGUACCGCAUGGUACAGUGCGAAAAACUCCGGUGGUGUGAGAUGGACCCGCGUCUGAUUAGCUAGUUGGCAGGGCAACGGCCUACCAAGGCGACGAUCAGUAGCCGACCUGAGAGGGUGACCGGCCACAUUGGGACUGAGACACGGCCCAA